rnacentral:rRNA from 1 species
GAUGAACGCUGGCGGCGUGCCUAAUACAUGCAAGUCGAGCGAAUGGAUUGAGAGCUUGCUCUUAUGAAGUUAGCGGCGGACGGGUGAGUAACACGUGGGUAACCUGCCCAUAAGACUGGGAUAACUCCGGGAAACCGGGGCUAAUACCGGAUAACAUUUUGGACCGCAUGGUUCGAAAUUGAAAGGCGGCUUCGGCUGUCACUUAUGGAUGGACCCGCGUCGCAUUAGCUAGUUGGUGAGGUAACGGCUCACCAAGGCAACGAUGCGUAGCCGACCGGAGAGGGUGAUCGGCCACACUGGGACUGAGACACGGCCCAGACUCCUACGGGAGGCAGCAGUAGGGAAUCUUCCGCAAUGGACGAAAGUCUGACGGAGCAACGCCGCGUGAGUGAUGAAGGCUUUCGGGUCGUAAAACUCUGUUGUUAGGGAAGAACAAGUGCUAGUUGAAUAAGCUGGCACCUUGACGGUACCUAACCAGAAAGCCACGGCUAACUACGUGCCAGCCGCCGCCGUAA